AAUUUUGGACAAUGGGGGAAACCCUGAUCCAGCCAUGCCGCGUGAGUGAUGAAGGCCCNAGGGUUNUNAAGCUCUUUCAGUGGUGNCGAUAAUGACGGUAACCACAGAAGAAGCCCCGGCUAACUUCGUGCCAGAAGCCGCGGUAAUACGAAGGGGGCUAGCGUUGUUCGGAUUUACUGGGCGUAAAGCGCACGUAGGCGGAUUGGUCAGUUAGGGGUGAAAUCCCGGAGCUCAACUCCGGAACUGCCUUUAAUACUGCCAGUCUAGAGACCGAGAGAGGUAAGUGGAACUCCUAGUGUAGAGGUGGAAUUCGUAGAUAUUAGGAAGAACACCAGUGGCGAAGGCGGCUUACUGGCUCGGAACUGACGCUGAGGUGCGAAAGCGUGGGGAGCAAACAG
rnacentral:rRNA from 1 species